CGUUCUGUAAGCCUGUGAAGGUGUGUCGUGAGGCAUGCUGGAGGUAUCAGAAGUGCGAAUGCUGACAUAAGUAACGAUAAAGCGGGUGAAAAGCCCGCUCGCCGGAAGACCAAGGGUUCCUGUCCAACGUUAAUCGGGGCAGGGUGAGUCGACCCCUAAGGCGAGGCCGAAAGGCGUAGUCGAUGGGAAACGGGUUAAUAUUCCCGUACUUGGUGUUACUGCGAAGGGGGGACGGAGAAGGCUAUGUUGGCCGGGCGACGGUUGUCCCGGUUUAAGCGUGUAGGUGUGUGUUCCAGGUAAAUCCGGUUCACUUUAACACUGAGGCGUGACGACGAGGCACUACGGUGCUGAAGCAACAAAUGC
rnacentral:rRNA from 1 species